AAGAAGAAGAGGAGGAGGAGGAGGAGGAGGAGCCAAAACACAGAAAGGCUCAUCUACUGUACGCUUCCAUCAAGGUCACAACAGAUCAUUAUUCCUAUCGAUUCUCUCUAUCUGCAUUCCAAGGAAUCCCUCAUCUUGGUAUCAGGGAACAUUUCUCUAUUAGGUUUAUCUCGUAGUGCAUCUGUCAGCUUUGUGAGCUCCAAGUACUCACACAACAAAUGCCAUGUUUUGAAUGGGCUGCAAGAUGGCUGAAGACCACCACAUAAAAUGGAUGCUGUUGAUGAACUAUUAAUAAAUUGUGCUGAUCAAAGAGUGAAUGGAAUGUGCAUGUUCUGGCAAAAGUACUGUACCUGCAAGGAAGUGGAAAGACUGACUGUGCAAUGCUAGUUACAAACAAUGAGUAUCGUCUUGUGCCAAAAGUUACAGAAGACCAGGCGCAAACCAUGAGAGUUGUGAUAUGCCAAGAACAUGCUAAGGGUGGAGGACUGCCAAGAACAUGUCAAAGGCAAUGAGAAAUGCCUUUGAUUCAGAUGUGCACCAAAAAAGACUAUAUAAGAUCAGGCUUUUCAGGAGGGUUGGUGUGUCGGAUGCAGCCAGGAUCCCGCUGUCUGCCCACCCAAUCCAGAAGAGUGGUGAGUGUAUGUGUGAUUGUGUGAGUGACUGAGUGCAUGUUCCCUUAUCUUGUUACGUGUUCUGCUUGUUAAUCAAUAAAGCAAUGUUAUGUAGAAAUUCCAA